AGAUGUAACGGGGCUAAACCAUGCACCGAAGCUGCGGCAGCGACACUAUGUGUUGUUGGGUAGGGGAGCGUUCUGUAAGCCUGCGAAGGUGACCUGUGAGGGUUGCUGGAGGUAUCAGAAGUGCGAAUGCUGACAUAAGUAACGAUAAAGCGGGUGAAAAGCCCGCUCGCCGGAAGACCAAGGGUUCCUGUCCAACGUUAAUCGGGGCAGGGUGAGUCGACCCCUAAGGCGAGGCCGAAAGGCGUAGUCGAUGGGAAACAGGUUAAUAUUCCUGUACUUGGUGUUACUGCGAAGGGGGGACGGAGAAGGCUAUGUUAGCCGGGCGACGGUUGUCCCGGUUUAAGCAUGUAGGCUGGUUAUCCAGGCAAAUCCGGAUAAUCAAGGCUGAGGUGUGAUGACGAGGCACUACGGUGCUGAAGUAACAAAUGCCCUGCUUCCAGGAAAAGCCUCUAAGCAUCAGGUAACAUCAAAUCGUACCCCAAACCGACACAGGUGGUCAGGUAGAGAAUACCAAGGCGCUUGAGAGAACUCGGGUGAAGGAACUAGGCAAAAUGGUGCCGUAACUUCGGGAGAAGGCACGCUGGUGUGUAGGUGAAG
rnacentral:rRNA from 1 species